ensembl:lncRNA
GCAGAAGGGAUGGGGCAGGAACGUUUUCAUUUCUAUGUUCCAUCCACACAGUCCCUAGGAUUGUUUCCUAUAUACUUGGGAAUUUGGUCAAUAUUAACCAAGAAGAAGGAAGAAACACACUUAGAAGCAUGAAGUCCCAUUGAGAAAUAUUGAACGAAUAUCCUUCCUACUAUACUGUAUUGGAUAUACCUUCAAAACUCUGCUCAAGAAUCACUUCAUGCAUGAAGCUGUCCCUUGAUGAGGAUACUUGGCCACUUGUGUCCAAUUUUAUUUGGGUACAACUAAAAACCAUGGCUAUUAUAUAUAAAACAAACAAGACUCUGAAAGGUAGAAAGAAGAAAGCAGACCAGCUAUGGGAAUUAUGACCCAAGGAACAACACAGCAGUCAGUUCUCUGGAUUUUCUUUUUAAUUCUUAUGUCCCACACUGGAAGCUGAAAAAGUCAACAACCCAGAAAUGCCAAUGGGUACAGAUAAAAAAAGCCCCCCGAAAGUUUGCUGUCGCUAGCCAAAGGAUCAUAAAAGGUAGAAGAAAAAUAAAGAUAGAUAACCUAUAAAGAAAGAAAAUUUUACGCUUUGCUCUAUUCCAGCCAAACAUUAUAGAAAAACCUGUAGCACCACCCACCCAGCAAAGGCCAAGCGGGAGCCUAGACUUCCACCCUUGUGAGUCUGUAACAAGGCACCUUAAUACCCUACCAGGAUGCUGUCAGAAAAUGCUAAAUAGGGAGCUUGAGUUUUCAACUCUACCUGCUAGUAAUGAGCUGCUAAGCCCAUACAAUGUCCAUGGAGACCUUGUGGGAAGUAUGGACUGCCACCUUCACCAGACAGUAAUGAAUGUUCCCUCCCUGCUGGGAUGGUGUCAGAAGAGGCAUAAUGGAGUCAGGUCUUUCACCAUUGUCCAGAAGUAACACAGUCACCAGGGGUAACAAAAUACUGCAGUAUCAGUGGAGACCUCAUGGGAACCUAAAACUUCCAUCUCCAUCCAGAAGUAAUGAGGAGUCCCCUUCCCCUCAGUUCAAGAAGGAUAAAUGGAAAACCUGGACUUUUAACUCCAUUUGACAACAACAAAGACAGAUUUCCCUGCUGGAUCAGUGUCACAGAAAUAAAUAAACAAACAAAACCAGCUAAAAUAAAAUGUUUAUUUAAGAUCCAGAGUCUCAUAACAUAAUUCUGAAAAUGUUCAGAUUUUAAACAAAACCCCUCAACUUAUCAACAACCAAGAAGAUCUCAAAUUAAGUUUAAAAAAAUCAGUAGAUGCCAACACCAAGAAGACAGAAAUGUUAGAAUUAUCUGACAAAGGUUUUAAAACAACUAUGAUGCUUCAACGCUUCAAUGAGUAAUUACAAACUCUUAAAACAAAUGAAAAAAUAGAAGCCUCAGCAACGAAUAGAAAGUCUCAGUAAACGAAUAAAAGAUAUAAAGAAGAAUCAAAUAUAAAUUUUAGAAAUAAAAAAUAUAAUGACUGAAACUAAAAAGCUCAGCAGAUGGACUCAACAGCAAAAUGGAGGAGACAGAGGAAAGAACCAAUGAACAAGAAGAUAGACCAAUGGAAAUUACCCAAUAUGAACAAUCAAGAAAAAAAACACUGAAGAAAAAAAAAGGAACAGAGACUCAGGGACCUAUAGGACUAUAACAAAAUAUCUAACAUUUGGUCUUUGGACUAGGAAGGGGAGGAGAAAGAGGGUAGUGCUGAAAAAGUACUUGAAGUGAUAAUGGUUGACAAGUUCCCAAAUUUGACAAGAGAUGUAAACUAACAAAUUCAAGCUUAGCAAACCAUAGACAGAAUAAAGGCAAAGAAAUCCACUCCAAGACGCAUCAGAAUUAAACUUGAAGUGGUACCAUAUUAAAAAGUUCUGAAAGAAAGCAGUUGUCAACCCUGAAUCUUAUACCUAGGAAAAAUAUCCUUCAGGAAUGAAGGGGAAAUCAAGACAUUCUCAGAUGAAGGAAAACAGAGAGUUUAUUAGCAGCAGACCUACG